rnacentral:rRNA from 1 species
AACGUAGGAGGCGAGCGUUAUCCGGAUUUACUGGGCGUAAAGCGCGUGCAGGCGGCUGUGCAAGUUGGGUGUGAAAUCUCCCGGCUCAACUGGGAGGGGUCAUCCAAAACUGUGCGGCUUGAGGGCAGGAGAGGGAAGCGGAAUUCCCGGUGUAGCGGUAAUAUGCGCAGAUAUCGGGAGGAACACCAGUGGCGAAGGCGGCUUCCUGGCCUGUACCUGACGCUGAGACGCGAAAGCCAGGGGAGCGAACGGGAUUAGAUACC